rnacentral:rRNA from 1 species
GACGUAGGGCGUGAGCGUUGUCCGGAUUUAUUGGGCGUAAAGAGCUCGUAGGCGGCUUGUUGCGUCAGCUGUGAAAACCCGCAGCUCAACUGUGGGCUUGCAGCUGAUACGGGCAGGCUUGAGUUCGGUAGGGGAGACUGGAAUUCCUGGUGUAGCGGUGAAAUGCGCAGAUAUCAGGAGGAACACCAAUGGCGAAGGCAGCACUCUGGGACGUGACUGACGCUGAGACGCGAAAGCGUGGGGAGCGAACAGG